rnacentral:other from 1 species
CGGUACCUGCUGGGUACGUUGCCGAUUAAUGUUUUCAAUCUAUAAGUUUUAUUUAGGGAACCAAGAUCGCUUACGGCUGUCAGGCCCGCUACGACGGGAAGACAAAUGGGAGUGACAAGGUGCCCACGUGCGAGAGCAUGGUUGGAAAACGUGUCGGUGACGGCCUUCGUGGGCCCUAC